rnacentral:rRNA from 1 species
GACGAACGCUGGCGGCGUGCUUAACACAUGCAAGUCGAACGGAAAGGCCCUUCGGGGUACUCGAGCGGCGAACGGGUGAGUAACACGUGAGUAACCUGCCCCAGACUUUGGGAUAACCCUCGGAAACGGGGGCUAAUACCGGAUACGACACAGCUUCGCAUGGGGUCUGUGUGGAAAGUUUUUCGGUUUGGGAUGGGCUCGCGGCCUAUCAGCUUGUUGGUGGGGUGAUGGCCUACCAAGGCGACGACGGGUAGCCGGCCUGAGAGGGCGACCGGCCACACUGGGACUGAGACACGGCCCAGACUCCUACGGGAGGCAGCAGUGGGGAAUAUUGCACAAUGGGCGGAAGCCUGAUGCAGCGACGCCGCGUGAGGGAUGACGGCCUUCGGGUUGUAAACCUCUUUCAGCAGGGACGAAGCGUAAGUGACGGUACCUGCAGAAGAAGCGCCGGCCAACUACGUG